GGACCAGACUCCUACGGGAGGCAGCAGUGAGGAAUAUUGGACAAUGGGCGCAAGCCUGAUCCAGCCAUGCCGCGUGCAGGAUGACGGUCCUAUGGAUUGUAAACUGCUUUUAUACGAGAAGAAACACUACUUCGUGAAGUAGCUUGACGGUAUCGUAAGAAUAAGGAUCGGCUAACUCCGUGCCAGCAGCCGCGGUAAUACGGAGGAUCCAAGCGUUAUCCGGAAUCAUUGGGUUUAAAGGGUCCGUAGGCGGUUUAAUAAGUCAGUGGUGAAAGCCCAUCGCUCAACGGUGGAACGGCCAUUGAUACUGUUAAACUUGAAUUAUUAGGAAGUAACUAGAAUAUGUAGUGUAGCGGUGAAAUGCUUAGAGAUUACAUGGAAUACCAAUUGCGAAGGCAGGUUACUACUAAUGGAUUGACGCUGAUGGACGAAAGCGUGGGUAGCGAACAGGAUUAGAUACCCUGGUAGUCCACGCCGUAAACGAUGGAUACUAGCUGUUGGAAGCAAUUUCAGUGGCUAAGCGAAAGUGAUAAGUAUCCCACCUGG
rnacentral:rRNA from 1 species